rnacentral:rRNA from 1 species
AUUGAACGCUGGCGGCAGGCCUAACACAUGCAAGUCGAGCGGAUGAAGGGAGCUUGCUCCUGGAUUCAGCGGCGGACGGGUGAGUAAUGCCUAGGAAUCUGCCUGGUAGUGGGGGAUAACGUCCGGAAACGGGCGCUAAUACCGCAUACGUCCUGAGGGAGCAAGUGGGGGAUCUUCGGACCUCACGCUAUCAGAUGAGCCUAGGUCGGAUUAGCUAGUUGGUGGGGUAAAGGCCUACCAAGGCGACGAUCCGUAACUGGUCUGAGAGGAUGAUCAGUCACACUGGAACUGAGACACGGUCCAGACUCCUACGGGAGGCAGCAGUGGGGAAUAUUGGACAAUGGGCGAAAGCCUGAUCCAGCCAUGCCGCGUGUGUGAAGAAGGUCUUCGGAUUGUAAAGCACUUUAAGUUGGGAGGAAGGGCAGUAAGUUAAUAUCUUGCUGUUUUGACGUUACCAACAGAAUAAGCACCGGCUAACUUCGUG